rnacentral:tRNA from 1 species
CUGCGCUUCCGGAGCGAUACUUGCCUUUGAAGUUAUUUCCCUUUUACUUCCUCGAGCAAGGAUGGUAAAGUCAGGCCAGUAAAGAAGAUGGGUUAAGCUGGAAGAGAAUCAUCGAGGGAGGCAAUUGCUCCUCAGUUUACCAUCUGUGCCACCAGGGAAGCCCCAUCAGCUCAGAAAAGAAGAUCCAAAUCCCUAGAUUGGCCUCAGCGGGCAGAGCAGAAGAGUACCGACGGGCGUGGUCGUCACCGCGGAACCGAACAUCACUUUCUCCAUCCCUUCCCAGGAAGCGUCAUGAGUGCAAAAAGUCAGACUACGUCUAGUUUUCUGGCCACGGAGGGCUGCUGUCCUGUUCUCUCUGAAGAAAGAGCCCAAGGGAGAGAAAAUGAGUCAACAAGUGGCGGCCUGGGCUCAGAUUCUGAAAAUCGCUUCUCCGGGAUGCCUGGCCACACGUGCCUGGCCACACGGAUCCCAGGCGUGUGCACGGCUCUUUGCCAAAGGACUUCCAGCCAACGCAGAGUAUGCUGUACCCGGAGCCUCUUAAAGCCUUUUGGCUUCUGCCAUUUCUCCAAAAAGGAAGGACCCAGCACGAACGCGCGUGCGCCCUUCGAUAGCUCAGCUGGUAGAGCGGAGGACUGUAGAUACGAAGCAUGUAGACAUCCUUAGGUCGCUGGUUCGAUUCCGGCUCGAAGGAAGUGCAGCUGUCGAUUUUGCUCCGUCGUGAAGGCCGCCGCCACCCCCGGGCGCCCAGCUGCACAAAUUUACCCUUGCAGAGCAGGUUAGUAUUCGAACUCUCACAGAAUAAGGGCAGGAAAGCCCUUCUGGAGCCACCCUCACGGCGACCUGUGGACUGUCGCCAAGGAACACAUUUGCUUCUUCUCAAGUCCACAGCUUUCAGCGAAAAACAACAGCCCCUGGUUCCCCAACCAUCGCUCCCACUUAAGGGGACAGUGGUCCCUUUAAUGUCCCCCGACUCUCAAGCCCUUUUGCUUUUGCAUCUUCUGCCUAGCACAGCGCUGUCUUUGAUACCCACAUUUCUGAAUUCGUUUGCUACAAUCGUUUUUUAGGGUGGAUGGAUUCUUUGGGAUUUUCUACAUAUAAAAAUCAUAAAAUCUCC